CCACACAUCCACUCCCACAACUCUACAAAAUGGUCUGACAUCUAUCCUUCUCCGCUCCAAACUUCCAAAAUGGCAUCUUUUUCUAUUAAAUUUCUGGCACCUUCAUUGCCAAAUCCAGCUAGAUUUUCCAAGAAUGCUGUCAAGCUCCAUGCAACUCCGCCGUCUGUGGCAGCGCCGCCAACUGGUGCUCCAGAGGUUGCUGCUGAGAGGCUAGAACCCAGAGUUGAGGAAAAAGAUGGUUAUUGGAUACUCAAAGAGCAGUUUAGAAAAGGCAUAAAUCCUCAAGAAAAGGUCAAGAUUGAGAAGGAACCUAUGAAGUUGUUCAUGGAAAAUGGUAUUGAAGAGCUUGCUAAGAUACCCAUUGAAGAGAUAGAUCAGUCCAAGCUUACUAAGGAUGAUAUUGAUGUUAGGCUUAAGUGGCUUGGCCUCUUCCAUAGGAGAAAGAAUCAAUAUGGGCGGUUCAUGAUGAGAUUGAAGCUUCCAAAUGGAGUAACAACGAGUGCACAGACUCGAUACUUAGCGAGUGUGAUAAGGAAAUACGGGAAGGAAGGAUGUGCUGAUAUUACGACAAGGCAAAAUUGGCAGAUUCGUGGAGUUGUACUGCCUGAUGUGCCGGAGAUACUAAAGGGACUAGCAGAAGUUGGGUUGACCAGUUUGCAGAGUGGCAUGGACAAUGUCAGGAAUCCAGUAGGAAAUCCUCUGGCUGGAAUUGAUCCAGAAGAAAUAGUAGACACAAGGCCUUACACUAAUUUGCUCUCCCAAUUUAUCACUGGCAAUUCACGAGGCAAUCCCGCAGUUUCUAACUUGCCAAGGAAGUGGAAUCCGUGUGUAGUAGGCUCUCAUGAUCUUUAUGAGCAUCCCCAUAUCAACGAUCUCGCGUACAUGCCUGCCACGAAAGACGGGCGAUUUGGAUUCAACCUGCUUGUGGGAGGGUUCUUCAGUGCAAAAAGAUGUGAUGAGGCAAUUCCUCUUGAUGCAUGGGUUCCAGCCGAUGAUGUUGUUCCGGUUUGCAAAGCAAUACUGGAAGCUUUUAGAGAUCUUGGUUUCAGAGGGAACAGACAGAAAUGUAGAAUGAUGUGGUUAAUCGAUGAACUGGGUGUAGAAGGAUUCAGGGCAGAGGUCGAGAAGAGAAUGCCACAGCAACAACUAGAGAGAGCAUCUCCAGAAGACUUGGUUCAGAAACAAUGGGAAAGAAGAGAUUAUCUUGGUGUACAUCCACAAAAACAAGAAGGCUACAGCUUUAUCGGCCUUCACAUUCCAGUGGGUCGUGUUCAAGCAGACGAUAUGGAUGAGCUAGCUCGUUUAGCUGAUGAAUAUGGUUCAGGAGAGAUCCGGCUUACUGUGGAACAAAACAUUAUUAUUCCCAAUAUUGAGACNCGAGACUAAAGCUCGUUCCUUGAAGAUAACUGAAGAGGUUCAACGGCAAGUUUCUUUGACAAAACCAGUAAGGAUGCACUGGACAGGCUGCCCGAAUACGUGUGCACAAGUUCAAGUUGCGGACAUUGGAUUCAUGGGAUGCCUGACUAGAGAUAAGAACGGGAAGACUGUGGAAGGCGCCGAUGUUUUUUUAGGAGGAAGAAUAGGGAGUGAUUCACAUUUGGGAGAAGUAUAUAAGAAGGCUGUUCCUUGUGAUGAUUUGGUACCACUUGUUGUGGACUUGCUAGUUAACAACUUUGGUGCAGUUCCACGAGAAAGAGAAGAAACAGAAGAUUAAUAAAAUUUAGAAUAGUUGGUGAUUUUGCUGUGUUCAUAACAUGUAAUGUAUGAUAAAUCAAUGCAAACAUUUCUACCUGCGUGAGAAUUAUUACAUGCUACAUAUAUUCUUUGAAGAAAA